rnacentral:tRNA from 1 species
GGCCUCGUAGCUCACCUGGUGGAGCACUCACGGUACUAAAGCGAGGGUGGUGACCAUGCGUGAGUUCGAAUCCCACCGAGGCCA